GACAGAGGUGCCGAGCGUUAGGCGGAAUCACUGGGCUUAAAGCGUGUGUAGGCGGACUUCUAAGUACCUUGUGAAAUCCCACGGCUCAACCGUGGAACUGCUUGGUAUACUGGUUGUCUUGAGCCACUUAGGGGCAGUCGGAACAGACGGUGGAGCGGUGAAAUGCGUAGAUAUCGUCUGGAACGCCAAAGGUUAAAACAGACUGCUGGGAGUGUGCUGACGCUGAGACACGAAAGCCAGGGGAGCAAACGGG
rnacentral:rRNA from 1 species